ACGCUCGACACCUACCGGAGGCAGCAGUGGGGAAUAUUGCACAAUGGGGGAAACCCUGAUGCAGCAACGCCGCGUGAAGGAAGACGGUUUUCGGAUUGUAAACUUCUGUUCUUAGUGAAGAUAGUGACGGUAGCUAAGGAGCAAGCCACGGCUAACUACGUGCCAGUAGCCGCGGUAAUCUGAGCGGGCUGGCAAGGC
rnacentral:rRNA from 1 species